ACGUGUGGCGUGCAAGACGUGUCGGUCCCUGAGCCUCGCUCGGAGCCGGAGUCCUGCGUGUCCCAUCUUCUUUGGCUUUAACAUCUUGGUGGCUGAUGCUGCGCAGCGUCUCCUGUCGUCUCUGACGUUGGUGGAGCAGCUCGUGGCCGCAGCAGCACUUCGCCCUCACUGAGGAAUGAGGUGUCCUGCGGACGAGCUGCGUCACCAGUUCGCUGGAGGCAUUCGGAGGUGCGGUCCUGGCACCAACCCUCUAACACCAGCGCACUGGCCCUUCAACCUCCUCAUCAGAAAUGUAGCAAUAUUGUCUUCUAGAGUAUUGUUACAUUUCUGGAUGGACCCUAUUCCAGAUAGAUGACAAUGGAUGGCGCGGGUUUAACAACAUCGAGUUAAGAGGCUGAUGGACCGUGUUUCGCUGAACAUGUUCCUACAGAUCUCCCCUCGCUCUUCUUGAACUCGCGCCUCAUGGCAUUCAUGGAGCCGGAGUGGAGUAGAGAAGUUCGUCGAAGAAGGGUACUUGAGGUAGUGGUCUUUUUAUAUCUCUGGUAUUCUUCAACGUCCUGUCAGGUCAAUCGAUCAACUCUCCUCUCCACUCCUUUUAAUUAAUCGUGGUAUACAAUGUUAAUAACUAAAAACCGACUUAUAUUUAUUAUAAUUACAUUAAUGAGGAAUACAAUUCGUAGGUUCGAUCAGAUUCACAUUUAUAAAUAGAUAUGGUCUUAGUAUAAUAAUUAAUUAU